UAGGUUAAUUAAACUUCAUGAGUUGCUAUUGUGAGAUAGGGGGUUGAAUAGCAAUAAUGCGA
rnacentral:tRNA from 1 species